AGAGUUUGAUCCUGGCUCAGAUUGAACGCUGGCGGCAUGCUUUACACAUGCAAGUCGAACGGUAACGCGGGGGCAACCCUGGCGACGAGUGGCGAACGGGUGAGUAAUACAUCGGAACAUAUCCAGUAGCGGGGGAUAACCUAUCGAAAGAUGGACUAAUACCGCAUACGAUCUACGGAUGAAAGCAGGGGACCGCAAGGCCUUGCACUAUUGGAGUGGCCGAUGUCGGAUUAGCUAGUUGGUGGGGUAAAAGCUUACCAAGGCGACGAUCCGUAGCUGGUCUGAGAGGACGAUCAGCCACACUGGAACUGAGACACGGUCCAGACUCCUACGGGAGGCAGCAGUGGGGAAUUUUGGACAAUGGGCGCAAGCCUGAUCCAGCCAUGCCGCGUGAGUGAAGAAGGCCUUCGGGUUGUAAAGCUCUUUCGGUGAAGACGAAACGGUUCAUGCUAACAACGUGAACUAAUGACGGUACUCACAGAAGAAGCACCGGCUAACUACGUGCCAGCAGCCGCGGUAAUACGUAGGGUGCAGGCGUUAAUCGGAAUUACUGGGCGUAAAGCGUGCGCAGGCGGUUUGCUAAGACAGGUGUGAAAUCCCCGGGCUUAACCUGGGAAUUGCGCUUGUAACUGGCAAGCUAGAGUGUGGCAGAGGGGGGUGGAAUUCCACGUGUAGCAGUGAAAUGCAUAGAUAUGUGGAGGAACACCGAUGGCGAAGGCAGCCCCCUGGGUUAACACUGACGCUCAUGCACGAAAGCGUGGGGAGCAAACAGGAUUAGAUACCCUGGUAGUCCACGCCCUAAACUAUGUCAACUAGUUGUCGGGGAAGAAAUUCCUUGGUAACGAAGCUAACGCGUGAAGUUGACCGCCUGGGGAGUACGGCUGCAAGGUUAAAACUCAAAGGAAUUGACGGGGACCCGCACAAGCGGUGGAUUAUGUGGAUUAAUUCGAUGCAGCGCGAAAAACCUACCUACCCUUGACAUGCUAGGAAGCCCGCAGAGAUGUGGGUGUGCCCGAAAGGGAACCUAGACACAGGUGCUGCAUGGCUGUCGUCAGCUCGUGUCGUGAGAUGUUGGGUUAAGUCCCGCAACGAGCGCAACCCUUGCCAUUAGUUGCUACAUUCAGUUGGGCACUCUAAUGGGACCGCCGGUGACAAACCGGAGGAAGGUGGGGAUGACGUCAAGUCCUCAUGGCCCUUAUGGGUAGGGCUUCACACGUAAUACAAUGGUCGGUACAGAGGGCUGCCAACCCGCAAGGGGGAGCUAAUCCCAGAAAGCCGAUCGUAGUCCGGAUUGUAGUCUGCAACUCGACUGCAUGAAGCCGGAAUCGCUAGUAAUCGCGGAUCAGCAUGUCGCGGUGAAUACGUUCCCGGGUCUUGUACACACCGCCCGUCACACCAUGGGAGUGGGUUCCACCAGAAGUAGUUAGCCUAACCGCAAGGAGGGCGAUUACCACGGUGAGAUUCAUGACUGGGGUGAAGUCGUAACAAGGUA
rnacentral:rRNA from 1 species